rnacentral:rRNA from 1 species
AGAGUUUGAUCCUGGCUCAGAUUGAACGCUAGCGGGAUGCUUUACACAUGCAAGUCGAACGGCAGCGCGAGAGAGCUUGCUCUCUUGGCGGCGAGUGGCGGACGGGUGAGUAAUAUAUCGGAACGUGCCCAGUAGCGGGGGAUAACUACUCGAAAGAGUGGCUAAUACCGCAUACGCCCUACGGGGGAAAGGGGGGGAUCGCAAGACCUCUCACUAUUGGAGCGGCCGAUAUCGGAUUAGCUAGUUGGUGGGGUAAAGGCUCACCAAGGCAACGAUCCGUAGCUGGUUUGAGAGGACGACCAGCCACACUGGGACUGAGACACGGCCCAGACUCCUACGGGAGGCAGCAGUGGGGAAUUUUGGACAAUGGGGGAAACCCUGAUCCAGCCAUCCCGCGUGUAUGAUGAAGGCCUUCGGGUUGUAAAGUACUUUUGGCAGAGAAGAAAAGGUACCUCCUAAUACGAGGUACUGCUGACGGUAUCUGCAGAAUAAGCACCGGCUAACUACGUGCCAGCAGCCGCGGUAAUACGUAGGGUGCAAGCGUUAAUCGGAAUUACUGGGCGUAAAGCGUGUGUAGGCGGUUCGGAAAGAAAGAUGUGAAAUCCCAGGGCUCAACCUUGGAACUGCAUUUUUAACUGCCGAGCUAGAGUAUGUCAGAGGGGGGUAGAAUUCCACGUGUAGCAGUGAAAUGCGUAGAUAUGUGGAGGAAUACCGAUGGCGAAGGCAGCCCCCUGGGAUAAUACUGACGCUCAGACACGAAAGCGUGAGGAGCAAACAGGAUUAGAUACCCUGGUAGUCCACGCCCUAAACGAUGUCAACUAGCUGUUGGGGCCGUUAGGCCUUAGUAGCGCAGCUAACGCGUGAAGUUGACCGCCUGGGGAGUACGGUCGCAAGAUUAAAACUCAAAGGAAUUGACGGGGACCCGCACAAGCGGUGGAUGAUGUGGAUUAAUACGAUGCAACGCGAAAAACCUUACCUACCCUUGACAUGUCUGGAAAGCCGAAGAGAUUUGGCCGUGCUCGCAAGAGAACCGGAACACAGGUGCUGCAUGGCUGUCGUCAGCUCGUGUCGUGAGAUGUUGGGUUAAGUCCCGCAACGAGCGCAACCCUUGUCAUUAGUUGCUACGCAAGAGCACUCUAAUGAGACUGCCGGUGACAAACCGGAGGAAGGUGGGGAUGACGUCAAGUCCUCAUGGCCCUUAUGGGUAGGGCUUCACACGUCAUACAAUGGUCGGGACAGAGGGUCGCCAACCCGCGAGGGGGAGCCAAUCUCAGAAACCCGAUCGUAGUCCGGAUCGCAGUCUGCAACUCGACUGCGUGAAGUCGGAAUCGCUAGUAAUCGCGGAUCAGAAUGUCGCGGUGAAUACGUUCCCGGGUCUUGUACACACCGCCCGUCA